rnacentral:tRNA from 1 species
GGGCCCUUGGCACAGUUGGUAGCGCGCACGCUUCGCAUUAAUUUGGGAAUUGCGUGAGGUCGUGGGUUCAACUCCCACAGUGUCCA